GUAUGUAGCUGUAUCUCGAUAAAUACUUUAAAUAAGGGUAACAACAAAAUUACCGAACAGUAAUCAUAACAAUCUUCAAAAUCAUAAUCCAAAAAAGAAGUGACAAAAUAGAUUAUUUACCACUGGAGAACUUUGGCUUGAGGAUGGCAAAAGUAGUGACUAAAUAAAUAUCUGCCGAAAUUUUACAACUUGGCUUAACCGAACUGUGAAUGCUGUUUUUUUUUUAUAAUUAGCGCCUAAAUAAAUUACUUCUCAACAAUGUGAUUUGAUCUGUAGAAAUUUUAAAACUUGCCAUAACAGAACUGUCAUCAUAGAGUUGCAAUCCAUAGAAGUAUAUGCCUUAAAAAAUUACUACUCAACAAUGUCUGAGGAAAUUUUACAACCUGGCUUAACAGAACUGUGAAUGCUGUCUCACGGACAAAAGUAGUGACUACACAACAAUGUGAUUGGGUCUGUAGAAAUUUUAUGACGAGAAUUACAGAACUGUGAAUGAUGUUUUAUGGAAAAUUACAGUUAACAUUACAUUGCUGAACAAACUUGAAUCAUAUACAAUUUUGUUUUAUGGAUUUUGCAAUUGGCCUAAAUAUUAAACCGCU
rnacentral:lncRNA from 1 species